AUGGAUCACAACCCGGAGAUCAUUUGCUGGAAUGUGCGAGGGUGGAAUAACCCUACCAAGAGGAAGGUAGUUAGGGAGUUCCUAUCGUCGCUAAGAGUUGACCUAGUUUGCUUGCAAGAGACUAAACUUGACAUUGUAGAUCAAUUCAUGGGAAUGCAAUGUUUAGGGCCAUCUGUUGAUGGCUUCGCCUAUUUGCCGGCUGUGGAGACCCGUGGAGGUAUUUUAUUAGCUUGGGACACCACACGCAUAUCGGUGGAUAGCAUCCACCUCGAUACCAACUUCCUAACUGGCAAAGUUCAUCAGAUGGACGACAAUGAGUGGUGGAUCUCGAUGGUGUAUGCGCCGCAAGGUGAUGAGCUGAAAACUCAAUUCCUCCAAGACUUGCAUGAAAGAAGGUCGCUUUGCCAGGGCCUUGGAUGUGCCUCGGAGACUUCAACAUGA
rnacentral:rRNA from 1 species